GAAGGAUCAUUACCGAGUGCGGGCCCUCUGGGUCCAACCUCCCAUCCGUGUCUAUCUGUACCCUGUUGCUUCGGCGUGGCCACGGCCCGCCGGAGACUAACAUUUGAACGCUGUCUGAAGUUUGCAGUCUGAGUUUUUAGUUAAACAAUCGUUAAAACUUUCAACAACGGAUCUCUUGGUUCCGGCAUCGAUGAAGAACGCAGCGAAAUGCGAUAAUUAAUGUGAAUUGCAGAAUUCAGUGAAUCAUCGAGUCUUUGAACGCACAUUGCGCCCCCUGGCAUUCCGGGGGGCAUGCCUGUCCGAGCGUCAUUGCUGCCCUCAAGCACGGCUUGUGUGUUGGGCUUCCGUCCCUGGCAACGGGGACGGGCCCAAAAGGCAGUGGCGGCACCAUGUCUGGUCCUCGAGCGUAUGGGGCUUUGUCACCCGCUCCCGUAGGUCCAGCUGGCAGCUAGCCUCGCAACCAAUCUUUUUAACCAGGUUGACCUCGGAUCAGGUAGGGAUACCCGCUGAACUUAA
rnacentral:rRNA from 1 species